rnacentral:rRNA from 1 species
GAUGAACGCUGGCGGCGUGCUUAACACAUGCAAGUCGAACGAAGCACUUUGAAAGCUUGCUUUUAAAGUGACUGAGUGGCGGACGGGUGAGUAACGCGUGGGUAACCUGCCUCACACAGGGGGAUAACAGUUAGAAAUGACUGCGAAUACCGCAUAAGCCCCCGGUACCGCAUGGUACAGAGGGAAAAGAUUUAUCGGUGUGAGAUGGACCCGCGUCUGAUUAGCUAGUUGGUGGGGUAACGGCCUACCAAGGCGACGAUCAGUAGCCGACCUGAGAGGGUGACCGGCCACAUUGGGACUGAGACACGGCCCAAACUCCUACGGGAGGCAGCAGUGGGGAAUAUUGCACAAUGGGCGCAAGCCUGAUGCAGCGACGCCGCGUGAGUGAAGAAGUAUUUCGGUAUGUAAAGCUCUAUCAGCAGGGAAGAUAAUGACAGUACCUGACUAAGAAGCUCCGGCUAAAUACGUGCCAGCAGCCGCCGUAAAAC